GUCGGCAGCUCGCUCUCUGCAACACUCACAUGGUCGCCCACUGAAGCUAAGCAGGGCUGCGCCCGGUCAGUACCAGGAUAGGAGACCACAUGGAAAAGCUAAAUUUGCUGCUGAAA
rnacentral:rRNA from 1 species